CGAACGCUGGCGGCGUGCUUAACACAUGCAAGUCGAACGGUGAAGCGCCUUCCUUUUUGGUGGGUGUGGAUGAGUGGCGAACGGGUGAGUAACACGUGAGUAACCUGCCCCCUUCUUCUGGAUAACCGCAUGAAAGUGUGGCUAAUACGGGAUAUUCUGGGUCUGUCGCAUGAUGGGUCUGGGAAAGAUAUUGUUUCGGUGGGGGAUGGGCUCGCGGCCUAUCAGCUUGUUGGUGGGGUGAUGGCCUACCAAGGCGGUGACGGGUAGCCGGCCUGAGAGGGUGGACGGUCACACUGGGACUGAGACACGGCCCAGACUCCUACGGGAGGCAGCAGUGGGGAAUAUUGCACAAUGGGCGCAAGCCUGAUGCAGCGACGCCGCGUGAGGGAUGGAGGCCUUCGGGUUGUGAACCUCUUUCGCCAGUGAAGCAGGCCUGCCUCGUUUGCGGGUGGGUUGACGGUAGCUGGAUAAGAAGCGCCGGCUAACUACGUG
rnacentral:rRNA from 1 species